rnacentral:rRNA from 1 species
UACGAAGGGGGCUAGCGUUGCUCGGAAUCACUGGGCGUAAAGCGCACGUAGGCGGCUUGUUAAGUCAGGGGUGAAUCCUGGAGCUCAACUCCAGAACUGCCUUUGAUACUGGCGAGCUUGAGUUCGGAGAGGUGAGUGGAACUGCGAGUGUAGAGGUGAAAUUCGUAGAUAUUCGCAAGAACACCAGUGGCGAAGGCGGCUCACUGGCCCGAUACUGACGCUGAGGUGCGAAAGCGUGGGGAGCAACAGGG